AUGGAAUUAACGAUCAUCUAAUUGUUUAAUUUUUUCAAAAAAUAAAAUAAGNAAGGAUGAAUAAAUAAGAAAAAUCAUUAGAAAUAGAAAGUACCUAUAUGAUUAAAUCAUAAAAGAAUAUUAAAUAAAUAACUACAGUGAAAAUUGGUUUUAAAUUUAUUUGGUAUCCUUAUUUAUUUUCUUUUUAUUUAUGUUAUUUCGGGGUAGGACAAGAAGCCUAAAGAAAUCCUAGAGUGACGAUUGGGGAUCAGGGUUACAUUCGAAGGCUCCUUCUUCCCUUUUAUUCUCUAUUUCAAACACACUUCCCCUGUCUCAUUUCUCAUUUUCCAUUGUGUUCCUCAAAUCUCUUUUCUCCACCGAAACCAUUCCUCCACGCUGCACCACUCGUCAGACAUAGCUUCGCUUCGUCAGUGUUUUUCGCUCACGCAUCAGCGCUUUGAGCACGCAUCACACAUUCUCUUAACACUUCAUUUCUUACAUUUCCUUCAUCGCCAAAAAACAUGUCGAAUUCCUUCAUCGCCAAAAAACAUGUCGCUCUCUGUCGAAGAGGUCUUCAUCUGCGAACUUCAGCGUAAGUUUUAAUUCAUCACAGAAUAGUCCGCUUCCUUCAUUUUUCACCCCUCGUCAUCUCUAAAUUUCGUUCUCCUCUCCAUUUUUCGAGUUCCUAAGCCCUAGAACAUCUAUUCCCUAGGUUUUUCUCCAUUUCCACCGAUUGAUUUCCAUUUUGCAUCGAUUAAACUACUUUCCACCGAACAAACUAGUAUUUCCACCGUUUAAUUUUGUGUUUGAACCGAUUAAUCGGUUCAUUGAGUUUCUUCACCUUUCUAGGGUUUCUUCGUGUCCAGAUUAGGGUUUUUUCUCAUCCUAAGGUUUUCAACCGAUUAGCCUAAGGUUUUAGAGUUUUUGUGAGUUAGUUCUCCUUCGAAUUAUCGUCAUCAUUCUGCUACGAUUCAUUCACCGGAGGGAGCUUCAAGAAGUCAACAUCA
rnacentral:lncRNA from 1 species